rnacentral:rRNA from 2 species
UGGCGGCACUAGCGCGGUGGUCCCACCUGACCCCAUGCCGAACUCAGAAGUGAAACGCCGUAGCGCCGAUGGUAGUGUGGGGCCUCCCCAUGCGAGAGUAGGGAACUGCCAG